GUGCUAUGGCAGCACAUAAACUAAAAUUGGAAUGAUAUGGAGACGAUUAGUGUGGCCCCUGUUUUAACAAGAAAAAAAAAAGAAAUAAUAUUAACCCCAAAUU
rnacentral:snRNA from 1 species